CCGGCCUGAGAGGGUGACCGGCCACACUGGGACUGAGACACGGCCCAGACUCCUACGGGAGGCAGCAGUGGGGAAUAUUGCACAAUGGGCGAAAGCCUGAUGCAGCGACGCCGCGUGAGGGAUGACGGCCUUCGGGUUGUAAACCUCUUUCAGUAGGGAAGAAGCGAAAGUGACGGUACCUGCAGAAGAAGCACCGGCUAACUACGUGCCAGCAGCCGCGGUAAUACGUAGGGUGCGAGCGUUAUCCGGAAUUAUUGGGCGUAAAGAGCUCGUAGGCGGUUUGUCGCGUCUGUCGUGAAAGUCCGGGGCUUAACCCCGGAUCUGCGGUGGGUACGGGCAGACUAGAGUGCAGUAGGGGAGACUGGAAUUCCUGGUGUAGCGGUGGAAUGCGCAGAUAUCAGGAGGAACACCGAUGGCGAAGGCAGGUCUCUGGGCUGUAACUGACGCUGAGGAGCGAAAGCAUGGGGAGCGAACAGGAUUAGAUACCCUGGUAGUCCAUGCCGUAAACGUUGGGCACUAGGUGUGGGGACCAUUCCACGGUUUCCGCGCCGCAGCUAACGCAUUAAGUGCCCCGCCUGGGGAA
rnacentral:rRNA from 1 species